rnacentral:lncRNA from 1 species
CGAAUAAAAAUAAUAAUGAUGUACUAUUAGUAGAAUCAAAUGGAAUGAGCAAAACAUCUAUCGAGUGGUUGACCAACAAUGCAAGGGAUAAGCUAUUCUGCCACUAUUUAAAGGUGGUUAUUUUGGUAUAUUAAUGUGAGAGAAGAAAACAAUAAUUUUUAAAAUGAAAAAAAAAAAAAAGUAUUAAUAGAAUUUUACCUUUUUGUGGAGCAAAAAAUAUGCAGGGAAUUGCUAAAUUAAAAGUUUAGUUUAGUUGUCUCGCCAAUAUCUAGUUACAUAGAAAACAGUGACAGUGGAUGUCCAUGCUGCUUUUUAAAAAUAAGUACAAAUGUAAAAAAGAACCAUGUUCACAGCAUUAAAUGGUAAAUGCAAAGAAAAACAAGAAAUCCUUCCAAGAUUUUGAUUUCAUUUCAUGGUGUUUAGGAUCCAUGAAACCUUUAUGGUUGAUUUUUUUUCUUAAUUCUUAUUUUUUACUUCAUUACUUCUUUGCUAUCUCUAGUUCUUAUGCAUUUUGCUGCAUACUCUUUACAGCAUGCUUCAAAAAGUUGGUAAAAUCUAAGUUUGGUCAUAUUAUUUUUAUUUACCCAUCAAAAAAGAAAAAAUCUAAGUUGGGUCAUGAACUUCUAUUUUAUCAUUUAUUGAUUUUAUACUUGAUAAAGAUAGAACUUUUGAGGAUUUUUAGGUCCAUGUUUACAUGAGAUAUAUCUACUUGGUAUUAUGUUACAUAUAUAUUACUUACAAAGAAUUCCUCGGGCCUAGUUUUGUUAUGAAAACCUUAUUGCCCAAAUCUGAGAUGAGGCGCAAGGCUUGCUAUAAUUCCUUAUUUUUCUUUUUCUCUCUCUUCUCUUUGCCCUUGGUUAUGAAAACUUUAUUGCUUACAUCUAAGGUGAGGCAUGGGGCCUAACACAGUUCUUUUUCUUUCUUUUUCCCCCACUUUUCCCCUUAUUCUCUGAUAGGGACUCCUUGGCCUUGUCCAUUGUUCUUAUUUUUUUCCUUAUCUAUGGUAUUUCCAUGUGCAAUAAAGUAAGUGAGUCUUCUUAUAUAUUAAGCACCUAAACAGAAGUUUNNN